rnacentral:rRNA from 1 species
CAGGAUGAACGCUAGCGGCGCGCUUAAUGCAUGCAAGUCGAGCGAUGAGGCUCCUUUCGGGGAGUACAUCAGCGGCAGACGGGUGAGUAACACGUAGGUGAUCUACCCCAGAGACGGGGAUAACGGGCGGAAACGCUCGCUAAUACCGGAUGACCUUACCGAGUCAAAUUGGUAAGGAAAGGCUCCGGCGCUCUGGGAGGAGCCUGCGGCCCAUCAGCUAGUUGGCGGGAUAAAGGCCCACCAAGGCGAAGACGGGUAGGGGGUGUGAGAGCAUGGCCCCCCACAAUGGGACUGAAACACGGCCCAUACUCCUACGGGAGGCAGCAGCAGGGAAUAUUGCACAAUGGACGGAAGUCUGAUGCAGCGACGCCGCGUGGAUGAUGAAGGCCCUCGGGUUGUAAAAUCCUUUACAAGGGGACGAGGAAGGACGGUACCCUUGGAACAAGUGUCGGCUAACUACGUGCCAGCAGCCGCGGUAAGACGUAGGACACAAGCGUUAUCCGGAUUUACUGGGCGUAAAGCGUCUGCAGGCGGACAGGUAAGUUGGGCGUGAAAGCUCCGGGCUCAACCCGGAGAGGUCGUUCAAUACUGCGUGUCUAGAGGGUGUCAGAGGGGAGUGGAAUUUCCGGAGUAGCGGUAAAAUGCGCAGAUAUCGGAAAGAACAGCAAUGGCGAAGGCAGCUCCCUGGGGCAUACCUGACGC